GAUAAACGCUGGCGGCGUGCCUAAUACAUGCAAGUCGAGCGAACAGAUGAGGAGCUUGCUCCUCUGACGUUAGCGGCGGACGGGUGAGUAACACGUGGAUAACCUACCUAUAAGACUGGGAUAACUUCGGGAAACCGGAGCUAAUACCGGAUAAUAUAUUGAACCGCAUGGUUCAAUAGUGAAAGACGGUUUUGCUGUCACUUAUAGAUGGAUCCGCGCCGCAUUAGCUAGUUGGUAAGGUAACGGCUUACCAAGGCAACGAUGCGUAGCCGACCUGAGAGGGUGAUCGGCCACACUGGAACUGAGACACGGUCCAGACUCCUACGGGAGGCAGCAGUAGGGAAUCUUCCGCAAUGGGCGAAAGCCUGACGGAGCAACGCCGCGUGAGUGAUGAAGGUCUUCGGAUCGUAAAACUCUGUUAUUAGGGAAGAACAAAUGUGUAAGUAACUAUGCACGUCUUGACGGUACCUAAUCAGAAAGCCACGGCUAACUACGU
rnacentral:rRNA from 1 species